ensembl:lncRNA
CCGUGUUCUACAGGUAAUUAACUUAACCGCGGUCUACAGGUAAUUAACUUAACCGUGGUCUACAGGUGGUUAACAGCCUGUGGUCUACAGGUAAUUAACUUAACCGUGGUCUACAGGUAGUUAACAGCUUGUGGUCUACAGGUAGUUAACUUAACCGUGGUCUACAGGUAAUGAACUUAACCGUGGUCUACAGGUAGUUAACAGCCUGUGGUCUACAGGUAGUUAACAGCCUGUGGUCUUCAGGUAGUUAACAGCCUGUGGUCUACAGGUAGUUAACUUAACCGUGGUCUACAGGUAAUUCACUUAACCGUGGUCUACAGGUAGUUAACAGCCUGUGGUCUACAGGUAAUUAACUUAACCGUGGUCUACAGGUAGUUAACAGCCUGUGGUCU